rnacentral:lncRNA from 1 species
UUUUAGCCCCUCAACUUUACUGUUGCUAUUCCGGGAUGUUACAUGUCGAUGAUAUCAUCUUUGGCUCAACGAAUCCUAGCUUAAUAGCUGAAUUCAGAAAGCUGAUGGAGACUAAAUUUGAAAUGAGCUCAAUGGGUCCGAUUAACUUUUUCCUUGGUUUAAAUAUCAGACAGGGACCCGAAGGCAUCUUUAUCAACCAGGAAGCAUACACCAAAACUCUCCUUGCUAAAUUCGGCAUGAUGGUAGAUUCAAAGGUUAAAGUCCCAAUGGCGUUUGGCACCAAGCUCACACCAUCCUUGGAUAAACCGGCAGUCGACAUUACGUUAUAUCGCCAGAUGAUUGGUUCUUUAAUGUACCUUAUUGCUAGCAGGCCUGAUAUAAUGUUUUCUGUGUGUUAUUGUGCUAGAUUUCAGGCAAAUCCUUGUGAACCACAUAUGCUUACAGUAAAGAACAUACUCCGGUAUCUGAAACGAACUACCUCUCUCGGUUUAUGGUAUCCAUCAAACUCAGGUUUUUUCCUUCAAGCCUACUCAAAUGCAGACCUUGGAGGUUUUGGUUUAGACAGGAAAAGCACAACUGGAGGCUGCCAAUUCCUAGACGGGAAGUUGGUUAGCUGGGAAUCANAUGUUUUCUGUGUGUUAUUGUGCUAGAUUUCAGGCAAAUCCUUGUGAACCACAUAUGCUUACAGUAAAGAACAUACUCCGGUAUCUGAAACGAACUACCUCUCUCGGUUUAUGGUGUCCAUCAAACUCAAGUUUCUUCGUUCAAGCCUACUCAGACGCAGACCUUGGAGGUUGUGGU